rnacentral:rRNA from 1 species
UGAGCAAUCUGCCCUUCUCUUUGGAAUAAGCGUGGGAAACCGCGUCUAAUGCCGAAUACGACCUCCUUUCGCAUGAUCGGAGGUGGAAAGCUCCGGCGGAGAAGGAUGAGCUCGCGGCCUAUCAGCUAGUUGGUGUGGGUAAUGGCCCACCAAGGCGACGACGGGUAGCCGGCCUGAGAGGGUGACCGGCCACACUGGGACUGAGAUACGGCCCAGACCUCCGUACGGGAGGNAGCG